CUACGGGUGGCUGCAGUGGGGAAUAUUGGACAAUGGGGGAAACCCUGAUCCAGCAAUGCCGCGUGUGUGAAGAAGGCCUGCGGGUUGUAAAGCACUUUCGGUUGGGAGGACUGCUUCUAGCACUAAUAUUGUUGGAAGUUGACGUUACCUUCAGAAGAAGCACCGGCUAACUCCGUGCCAGCAGCCGCGGUAUACGGAGGGUGCAAGCGUUACUCGGAAUUACUGGGCGUAAAGCGCGCGUAGGCGGCUAGAUCAGUCGGGUGUGAAAGCCCCGGGCUUAACCUGGGAACUGCAUCCGAUACUGUCUAGCUUGAGUACAGGAGAGGAGAGUGGAAUUCCACAUGUAGCGGUGAAAUGCGUAGAUAUGUGGAGGAACACCAAUGGCGAAGGCAGCUCUCUGGCCUGAUACUGACGCUGAGGUGCGAAAGCGUGGGGAGCAAACAGGAUUAGAUACCCCCGUAGUC
rnacentral:rRNA from 1 species